UACGGGGGGGGUAAGCGUUGUUCGGAAUUACUGGGCGUAAAGGGCUCGUAGGCGGCCAACUAAGUCAGACGUGAAAUCCCUCGGCUUAACCGGGGAACUGCGUCUGAUACUGGAUGGCUUGAAUCCGGGAGAGGGGUGCGGAAUUCCAGGUGUAGCGGUGAAAUGCGUAGAUAUCUGGAGGAACACCGGUGGCGAAGGCGGCAUCCUGGACCGGCAUUGACGCUGAGGAGCGAAAGCCAGGGGAGCAAACGGG
rnacentral:rRNA from 1 species